UACGAAGGGGGCUAGCGUUGCUCGGAAUCACUGGGCGUAAAGGCGCGUAGGCGGCGUUUUAAGUCGGGGGUGAAGCCUGUGGCUCAACCACAGAAUGGCCUUCGAUACUGGGACGCUUGAGUAUGGUAGAGGUUGGUGGAACUGCGAGUGUAGAGGUGAAAUUCGUAGAUAUUCGCAAGAACACCGGUGGCGAAGGCGGCCAACUGG
rnacentral:rRNA from 1 species